CAAUCACCCUCGCUGCGGAGCAGUUGCAGGACAGGCUCCCCGCUCGGCGUUUUCUGCAACCCCGGGACACCCAAAACCGUCUGAACUCUCACGUGGGGGACCAGCACAUCCCGCUCGCGGCCAGGCAUACAGAGGAAGGGGCACACACUCUCUGACACACAGCAUCACCACAGACAUGUCGGACUCCGAAGCCGCCGCUGCCCCCGCCGAGGCCCCGGUCCCUGCCGCCUGCACCGGCAUCAAGGCGGACCUGGACAAAUGUGUGGCGGAGAAAGGGGCGGAGGGCUGCAAGGAUCUGAUGGAGGCCUUCGCUGCCUGUGUGAAAAGUGCUGCUGAUGCGACGUCGUGAGGAGCGGAGCUUCAGCCUCCUAUGACGUCCACUGCACUGAGUCCUCCAUGUUCCCAGCAUUCCCUUCUGCACAGCAGCACUGGACCGGACAUGUUAAAUGGCAGCGUGAUGAAGUUUGUCGAUCCGGGAGGAGUUCGGGAUUUGACAGCAGAAACCGCAAAACUCCCUCCUCCAAACUCCCCCUGUUUUAGACUUCAAUGUUAAAUGGUGUCUUCCAAUAUUUGCCCCCACCCAUCCAUCCCCCUCCACCUUACGUGGCUGAAAUACAUUGAUUUGUAGACAUUUCCAGAGAGCUGAUGGGUUGUAAUGUUUGUCAACUUGAUAUGAAUACAUUUAAAUGGAAAUAAAGUAUAAAAUAAUUGCUA